CCGGGCCUCAUUUUCACCAACGGAACAGGGGGAAAAAAAGGAAGAAAAAAAAAAGACAUGGAUGGCAGCCAUCUCAAACUCCAAACCAGCCGCGACACCCGCCCACCCUCUCUGGUCCAAUAAAUGUGCCGCGCAACUGUUUGUCUGGUAACUGUGAGAGUUACCUUCGCACGGUAAACGCUCGAUCUUUUCUGAGAAGCGAGUGUAAUGAAUGCGGCAUGUGACCCCUGCUGGCUUGGAGAAGAGCUCGGGAAGAGUGGUUUCUUUUGUGGACGUGGAAGAGGGCAGGGAGGUGAAGUGAGGAGCCUGCGCGGUGCGUGAGCUUUACGUGAUGCAAAACACACAAGAGGGCUCCAUGGUGAUACGAACCGACUACAGUUUCAUAACGGCCGUGCCCUUCCCCCGAGGUUGCAUCCACACGCUUCAUCUGAGCGGCGUGUGUCCCGAUGGACAGCGACGAUUGGUGGGCUGCUGGGCGACACCCUUCAGGAGACCUGGAUGACGGGACAAGACUGCUCUCUCGUUCUUAACUGCUCAUAUCCCAGCUGUCUCUCGCAGAGUGAUGGCUUCAUUUUGACCGCAACGAUCCCCUCCUGGAAGCCUCCUCGACGGUAUUUCCCCUCUGGAACUAAUACGAGCGGUAACACGUGUCGAAAAGGUCAAAUAUGUGUGCCCCCCACCUUUCGCUCAGCCCACUCGUGGCCACCCCGAAAUUACAGCCGCCGCCUGGAUGUGGAAGGGAGAUUAAUUGCCCUCUAAAGUCUGGUUGUACUUAAUCUCACGUCCUCAAAGUGUGGCUGUGGGAGAUUAGGUUAUACUAAGCCUCUAAGCGCGUGGUGUACACACACAUACAGGGACAUGUAUAAUUGCAUGCACACGUAUGUAAAACAUAGAACACACACCGCUUUGCUGCUGGUUGCCCAAAUGUGUGGCAACCUGAACAAACACACAUGUAAAUGCCUGCUACACAAAGUCUCUCAAGCGGCCGCGUUACCAACCAACAAAUGUCAACCUUCAAUCCAGAGUAAUUGGGCAAAGAGACAGAACUGGUCGGUAUCGUCACAGGACGGAGAAUCUUAAUCAAACCUGAACUCCUGUCAGUCCGCUGCUCACCUUUUUUUGGUACCACACAACCACAUUGGAUGAAACGGGGUGGGAGGUGUGUGUGUGUGUGCACAGUCACCGGUCUGCAACAACUGCAACGACUCCAGCGAAAGCGAGACUAAAUAAUCAUUGUUUGUGCGUGGCAGAUUGGGCGGCUUGAAAGUGUUAAGCAUGACUGGAUUAAAAACUCCGGCACACAUCCGUUUCCAUUGUCUAAUCCUCUUAGUGCCCACUCCUAAUACGUUUUCAUAUCUUUCCGUUCUCUCACUGAGGUAAAAUAUCAGAUUAGUUUAGACUUUGACUUUAUCUUAUUACAACCUUAUCUAACACCGAAGGGAUGUGAAUUUCCAGUUGGGCAGCCACUGCGCCUUCCGUUCGGAAAAUGCAGAAUUGAGGUUUUAAUGUCGCUGUGGUCAUUGAGAUUAGUCUCUAAAAGAGAUUAUGUAAACAUCCUCCUCUGAUAUGCAGUUAUUUUUAACACUCCUACUGUCUCUUGUUUACAAUGUAACCUCAGAAAUCACCUCAGAUCGCCAGUGAUUUGACCGUUUGGCGUGAAUUACUUUUGGUGAGUGCAUGUGAAUGUGGCAUAGUUGUUGUGAGAGAAACAUUAGUGCCCCCGAGGAGCCACCAUGUGCAGGCAUGAUGUCUACUGCAGACACAUAUAUUGAUGUAAUAAGCCACACCUAGUGUGAAUACUGCAAACAAAAGGUCCCUCCACCUCAAACCUGAGUAGAAUUUACACACUGCCCCCCAGCUGAAAUAGAUCUCACUCUCUAGAAUCUAUCAUUUUCUCAAAAAAUGUAAUCAAACAUAUGUGACCAUAGAAGUGGAAUCAAUGUUUUCUCAUGGAGGUGUCUCUGCUGUUCAUUCUCAGCUCGCUAUUCAGUCUGAAGGUUCUUAGGUGCACUUGAAACAAAUGUGGUCCAGAUGGAACAAUGCCUAAUCAGGUCACCUUUACAGAGAGCUGUUAAUUCAAAGCUGAAAAUGGGAGACUGUGCUGAGUCACUUUACCAAUUGUUCUGUAGCUUUUUAUAAAGUAGUCUAUUAAACACAACCUUCUGCCUGGCAGGGGCCAAUAAUUUUAUUAAGAUCUAGGGCUGCCCAGUGUACCGGUACAAAUGGUAUAAGAUUUCCAUAUGGUAUGAAUUUCUCACAUACAGUUUAUACCGGUGUUACGCCACAACAACUGAAGGUAAUCUUAUUUCUACACGUCAUCACGGAGCACCCAGCGGUUGGAGCUACUUGUCUUAUGUGUGUUGAGAUGGAGUCAUGGUUGUAACUUUAUGACAAAAAUGAAUAACCCACAACAAACACUCUUUAAUGGGGUAAAACACCACAACACAACAGCUUAUGACACAUAAACAGUUUGUAACACCAAUAAUUGUACAUUUAUAAAAAAAUGACCAAACUGCUGGGUACAGAUUGGCAGGCUGGGUACAGCUCACAACAAGAAGUAACUCUAAUGCCACACGGAAAUAAGCAAUACAGGAGGAACAACGAGAGACCAGAGAUACACCAAACCAACUUUUUUGGGGGUUUUGGAAAAUCCGUCGUAAGUUACCUUGGAUCAGAUAACGAUUUAUUGCAAAGUUAUUGUAAGCUAACUAGCCGGCCAGUUACGAGCAAGUUGGCCAGCGGCUACCCGAACACCAGUUCCAUCUUUUUCGGGGUCAAUGAAUUAAUGUGUUUACUUAAAAAAGCAAUACCAUGAUAUACCAGGACCAGGAAUUUUUCUUAAUACCGUGAAAACCGUGGUUUUCGCCAUACCGUGCAGUCCUAUUAAGAGCUCCUGCAGGAAUGUCAACAUAUCACAUUCAGAUGUCAGUAGCUACAUUAAUGACGUGCUUUGCAACUGAGAACAUGCUGCUGUUACCAUGUAGGACCAUUUUCAAAUAGCUCUUUGGUUACUCUCUUAGUCAGCCCCUUAGUCACAGCAAAUGGGGACGCCUCGACUUAUCAACAAUACUUGAAUCACAUAUUUCUAGUUGUUAAUUAUCAACUUAAAACCAGAUGCUAACAAGCUGUGUCGGCCAUAUAGCUCCUUUUUGAUGAAACUGAAUCAUUUUUAAUUAUGUUGAUAUUGGAUUCUAUUGACAUUGGACUGCCAAUGUUCAAUUGCUUGACACAGUUUUAAUAACAGCAACCUGGUGGGUGAAUGUGACCAUUUUCCAAUCUCGAAUACUCCGUUUUAGAGUCGAUGUAACAUGAUGCACACUAGGGCUACAAAAGUCAAUAUGUUGUAGCUGUGAGUGGUGGCUACUAGUGGUAGAGGAAGUUUUUAAAUGGUUUGUUAAUGUUAUCCUGCCUCCCUCCUAUUGCUUUGGCGUUUCGUUUUCCUACUUGUCCUUUAUUGUUGCUAAUUUCCAUUAUUUGGCAACGUUCCAUACUCUAUUACAUGUAUUUACAUAUGUUUAAAAAACAAACUAAUGAAUGCAAAUCGCUGCCAUCGAACGAAACACUGACACACUCAAACAAUGCACCUUUGACUUAUAUACUCUGCCUGCAAUGCAGUGCACUUUCAUAUCAGCAUAGAGAACGCACCAGUUAAUCCACAGGGUUAUGAUAGUGAAAGUCCUUCUCUAUCCACCUUAAGAUGAUCCUGCUUUGGCGGUUCUGGGCAGCCCAGAUAUCAGUCAAGAGCAGGGAAGAGGAAAAAGUACACAAGCAUCCUGAGGUCUGCAAAGGGGCAUGAUGGCUCGCCCACUAAAAGUGUGAAGUUGUCCCACCUUCAUAAUCAGUCAGGGACACAGCAGAGACGGACUCAGGUGGCAGCAAUGACAGCAGAAUGGACGCAUAUUGAUGGGGAAGUUUAACAGUGUGGCUGCAGCAGAGGCUGGAUGAAGCUGUUACUGGCCUCUUUGUGGUCCGCUACACGCAAUAAAGGGGGCAAUCUAGGGACAAAUGUCCUGUAUGUUAUAGUUGGCAAGUGGAUAAUUCAAAGGCGCCCUGUCGAUUUUUUGACCGUUAGUGUUGCAAUGUUCACGCAAACGAAUACCGAUUUUGAUGAAAACAGACACAUGCUCGUACAGGUGUUAAAGUUCAGCAUGUUAACAAGGGGGUCUUUUGAGGCAGUCUCAAGGGGCCAUUCAAGGAUCUAUAAGAUGUUGGCGCUUUGGCUUCAUUUAAUUUGCGAUGAAUGUGUUGCAGUUUGGUUUUAGUCAACAAAAACAACAGACCUUUUCAGUAAAUUUGUUGUUUUAUUUCAUUCACAGAUCAACAGAUUUAAUCUUGUUUAAUCCAUUAAACAACUGUUUGUCACUUAGCAGGAAAUGGUGUGAUACAACCUAAAUAAAAGAGUAUUAAAGACAAAGCACUGCGGCUCCAUACAAUAUUCAUAGAUAUUCUAUGAACUAUGUACGGGAUAUGCAAUAGAAUGGCCAGUGCCCAGGAAGCAGGGAGUUGAGUACUGUUUCUAAAGAUGCCCCCCCGCCCUCCGUAAAGAACUGCUGACAACAUGUGCAUCUCUGGACUUAUAUUGCUCUCAUAAAUUCAAAUACGUGGUCGGUUUAAACACAUGAAUGAGUAGGAGCAUUUCUGGAGCAAUACAAAUAGCAAGGCUUUACAACCAAAUCAUGAAAGAGUUUUCAGGGAAGCAGAGCACUUGACUGUGAACAUCUCUCUUGCUAUCUCUUCCUUUCCCUUUAUCUGUGGCUGCAGCGUGAGGCAGGCUAUGGGGAAAUUACCCAUGAAUGAAACAACUGUUGACACAAAGGGAAUUCUUUUUUUUUUUGCCCUUGCUCCACUGUACGGGCAGUGGAUUAUGAAAUGCCGUCCCCAGGCCUCGCUAAACAUUAGCUGACACAUGGGGGAAAGGAAUUCCCAUAGCUUCAGGUCCAUGUUACUUCUUGCCAAAAUAAGCAGCACCGACAAACUACAUAAGAGAGGCAACAAAGACAAAAGAUUGUAUGGAAUGAAAGAAUAAUUUACUAAACAUGCGGCUGAAAAUUACAACAUUUGACUUAUCAACAAUUCGUUGAACCCUUAAAAUAUAAUAAGGUGAGCUGUAAACAUGGGGUUUGCUUUGACCUAACAACCAUUUUUUCUAUAUAAUGGUAUAAAAAUCAGUGUCACUCUGUUACACCAGAAAACAUAUUUUCUUCAAUUGAAAUGCAGGAUUACCAACCUGUUUUAACGUCGAUUUUCUUUAAUUAAAAAGCAUGUGAAAACAAUUUCAUUAUUUAAUAAUUAAAUAACAUAUGGUCUGUCAAAUGUUUAAAAAGAAACACUGUCUUGUUGGAUUUGUGAUUGUUCUGAGUUUUAUUAGAAUGAACGUGUUUACUGGAGAGGAGCUUCAACAUGUGCCACCAUGUCUACGGAACAGAGUAAGUGAGCAAAAGCAUCAGAAGGCAAAACAGACUCAUCUCUGAGGCCUGGGCUUGGUUCCAUGGGGCUGGAGUGAAGAUUACGAUCCACUAUGUGUUUAUUUUAAAAUGUUAAGGACCUCCCAAUUCUCCAUGGAUCAAAAAUCAGCGUGCAAUGUUUAAAAUACAAUCUGCUUAUCCCAGGCCACUCCAUACCGCAUGCGCAAUUAGUGUAUACUGAACAGCAUGAUAUGCCUUUCAUGUGCCAUUUCCUUAAUCCCACGUUGCACAGAGGGAUAUGUCUCCCAAGGAAAUCAAUCCCCCCUGUAUCCCUGCGUUUUUUCCCCACUUGUAUAUCUGCAAAGGGAAUUGCCCCCUUCCUGGAACACCUUGCACCACCUUUAACGCCAAAGGCUUUGAAGACAGCUAAUUUCCAUACUAAUUUCUUUCUUUUCUCCCUCCGCUCACCGUAAUUCCGGACCAGGCGCAAGGCGAGAAGACACGUGUCGCUUGAUCUGAUGGCAGAGGACUAAUUGCAUUCUGGGAUACAUGCCUGGAAUUCAGAAUGUUCAACAAAAGAAACAUGUUGUGUAAGCAGACCACCCACAACAUCGGGACAAUUAAUAACCCUCCUUCUGGGGAGAGAAUUUGGACUGUCCAGCCUCCCAGAAGACUGCACUGCUGCCUUUUUUGAUAUCUGUGGCCAGAUAGAGACAGACCUGCCGUCCUUAGGCGGCGUGACGCCACUUGAGCUCCAAUGUGACUGGACUGUUAUGAGGCCAACUUAGCCAGCCUGCUCCAAUCAUAGGAAGCACAAACAAGCCCCUAACCAUACUGAAUGCUAAGCCAGAUCAGUCUCGGGGGUGGUUUGUCAGGUUUUGCAGGGAUAACAUAGCAUGGGAUUAUUUUUUCUCUCUCUCUCUCUCUCUCUCUCUUACUCACUCUCACUCAAUCUCAAUGUCCCUCUCCCUCUAUUUCCAUCUCUGCGUCUGUUAUUCUGGAUUCACAUCUCUCCAAGGAGGAGAAUGCCUUUUUACAACACAUGCUGACACGCACGCACGCACACUCACACCCAUACAUAGUGCCGUACACACAAAUACGCCUGUGUACUUACACCCACUCACACUCUCACCUCCUAUCUCCGCUCGACACAAGCAGCCUAAGCAUUUGAGGUCUCCAUUUAUAUGGUUCAUGUGUGGUUCAGCAGUGAAAUUAAGAUGAGGUGUUGACAAGCUAAUGCUGAAAUAACAAGACCUACUAACGUGUGGCGAGUCUUAAUGGAGCCUGUGCCAUCAAAUGUUGCUGGAGCCCAGUAUUAAGGUGAUGAAGUGUACUAUUUUAAACUGGCACCAUCACAGGGUAAAGUCCUCAUUACCACGAAGACACUGGUGGCACAUUAUGAAAAGCAAUAAACAUGCUCCCCUCACCCCGUCUCGUGCUGCUGCAUCCAUCGAGCAGGCAACAUAUGGGUGCCCGCAGGAGUGGCUGUGCUUAGCCAACUGGGGUUUGAUGACAACACCGCCAGGGUCAGUGUAAAAGGAAAUGUAAUUUUCAUUAAGAAAAAACUCAUUUGGAGUCAACCCUACCUUAGACUAACAUUUUAUUUAUAUAUAUAUAGCCCUUAUAUAUAUAUGUAUGUAUAUAUAUAUAUAUAUAUAUAUAUAUAUAUAUAUAUAUAUAUAUAUAUAGGGCUGUCAAUAGAUUAAAAAACAAC
ensembl:lncRNA